UACGUAGGGCGCAAGCGUUGUCCGGAAUUAUUGGGCGUAAAGAGCUCGUAGGCGUCUGUUACGUCCGCUGUGAAAACCCAGGGCUUAACCCUGGGCUUGCAGUGGAUACGGGCAGGCUAGAGGUAGGUAGGGGAGAAUGGAAUUCCCGGUGUAGCGGUGAAAUGCGCAGAUAUCAGGAGGAACACCGAUGGCGAAGGCAGAUCUCUGGGCCUAACUGACGCUGAGGAGCGAAAGCAUGGGGGAGCGAACAGG
rnacentral:rRNA from 1 species